GCUCUAAUGGCUCAGUUGGUUAGAUCAUCAGCAGAGAAUGAAGAGGUCACUGGUUCAAAUCCAGCUAUGGACA